rnacentral:rRNA from 1 species
GAUGAACGCUGGCGGCGUGCCUAAUACAUGCAAGUCGAGCGAACGGACGAGAAGCUUGCUUCUCUGAUGUUAGCGGCGGACGGGUGAGUAACACGUGGAUAACCUACCUAUAAGACUGGGAUAACUUCGGGAAACCGGAGCUAAUACCGGAUGAUAUUUUGAACCGCAUGGUUCAAAAGUGAAAGACGGUCUUGCUGUCACUUAUAGAUGGAUCCGCGCUGCAUUAGCUAGUUGGUAAGGUAACGGCUUACCAAGGCAACGAUGCAUAGACGACCUGAGAGGGUGAUAGGCCACACUGGAACUGAGACACGGUCCAGACUCCUACGGGAGGCAGCAGUAGGGAAUCUUCCGCAAUGGGCGAAAGCCUGACGGAGCAACGCCGCGUGAGUGAUGAAGGUCUUCGGAUCGUAAAACUCUGUUAUUAGGGAAGAACAUAUGUGUAAGUAAAUGUGGACAUAUUGACGGUACCUAAUCAGAAAGCCACGGCUAACUACGUG